rnacentral:ncRNA from 2 species
AACGAGAGUUGAGGUGCGGUUCUCAUAAGUAACCUCAAGACAGGGGAUAGGCCCCGCGUCUUGUUGUGAAAGGGUGGACCGCCGAAGUCUGCUUUUGUCCUGUCUCAAGAGUGGACUGGGCCUGUGGAUAAGAUCCUCAGGACUGUCACGGGUUUUUCGUGGAGUGCUCUCUCGGC